AGGGAGGAGAUAUGGGGAUAUAUGUAUAUGUAUAGCUGAGUCACUUUGUUAUAAAGCAGAAACUAACACACCAUUGUAAAGCAAUUAUACUCCAAGAAAGAUGUUUAAAAAAAAAAAAAAGAGUUCGCCUGCCAAUGCAGGAGACAUGGGUUUGGUCCCUGGUCCAGGAGGAUCCCACGUGCUGUGGAGCAACUAAGCCCGUGCACCACAACUACUGAGCCUGCACUCUAGAGCCUGCGAGCCGCAACUACUGAAGCCCGCGCGCUGAGAGCCCGUGCUCCGCAACAAGAGAAGCCACCACAAUGAGAAGCCCAUGCACCACAACGAAGAGUAGCCCCCGCUCGCCGCAACUAGGGAAAGCCCGCGUGUGGCAAUGAAGACCCAACACAGCCCAAAAAAAAAAAAAAAAAAAAAAGAUGGCUCAACAGCUCAAUCACAGAAAGGGUAGGGCAUCAGAUGUGAGGGAACCAGGGAAAACAUCCCUCCCUCAUCCUGCCUCCUCCUCCCACAGUCCUUCUCUCUGGCUAACUCUCUACAAGGAUGCUUUCUUCUCUCUCCCUGCAGAUAGGGGUUGUCCCCAACAGGGUGGUGCCGCAGCCUCACAUUUCCCAUCUUCUAUCUCUCUCAUUCUCUGUCUUCUUGACUGGCUUAGCCUCCUACCUGGCCAUCAAAUGUUGGAGUUCCUCGAGGCUCUAUCCUAGGUCCUCUUACUUCCUCCCUCAGAGAUCCUCACAGUUUUAAUCACCAUCUCUACUUAGAGGGUUCCCAUAUUUAUUCUCCAACACAGACCUUUCUCCACGCUCUAGGCCUAUGUAGCCAAUUGCCUACCUGGUGUCUACUCUUGGGUAUCUCAAAGGCAUCUGAAAUUUUCCCCUUCUUUCCUGGUAACAAAAUCCCCAUGUUGUUGGAGGCAACGUACCUGGCUGAAAAGAUCACAUUUUCCCCCUUCCCUUUGCAGUCACGGGUGGACAACAAGAUGUAUGCAGAAGUAAUUAAGUUGAGCUUCUAGGGGAAGUCCUUUAUAAAAGGCUGACUCAGCUGGAAGUUUUGCCAUUUUUGCCCUUAUGCCUUCCUCCUCCUUCUGCCUGGAAUGUGGAUGUGAUAGCUAGUGCUCGAGCAGUCAUCUUGAGAGUAUGAGGAGAACUUGAAGAUGGAAAUGAGCACUAAAAAUGGCAGCGAGGGCUUCCCUGGUGGUGCAGUGGUUGAGAGUCCGCCUGCCGAUGCAGGGGACACGGGUUUGUGCCCUGGUCCGGGAAGAUCCCAUAUGCCGCAGAGCGGCUGGGCCCGUGAGCCAUGGCCGCUGAGCCUGCACGUCCGGAGCCUGUGCUCCAUAACGGGAGAGGCCACAACAGUGAGAGGCCCGCGUAACGCAAAAAAAAAAAAAAAAAAAAAAAGGCAGAGAAAAUGGUAGAAGGAGCUUGGGAUAAAGAUGCUUACUUUCUAUCUACAGACAACUUUUAGGUGAGAAAUGGUAAAUGUCUAUCUUAUUGAAGCCACUCCUAUUACAGGUCUCUAUAACUAGAACAAAACACAAUUCCUAACACAUAAUGGUCUCUUCCUACACCUCUAUCCUCAUCUGGCAUCAGACAGCACUCCAUCCUUCUCCCUCUUCUCAAGUCAUGCCGUCCUCUCUGCCUAUACUCACCAUGCUCUCUCCUGCCACUUAGUCUUCUCACGUGCCAUUCCCAAUGCCUAGAUCCCAGCUCAGUCAUCACUUCCUCUGAGAAGCCAGCCAUGGCCAACUUCACCCAUCACAGGUCUCAGAGUACCACCAGGCUCUUCUAUGUAGUAACUGUCCCCUUUUCCCUCCCACUAGACUAUAACCUCCAUGGAGGCAGGACUGUGUCCUUUCCUGUUAUUACCAUUGUAUCGUUUAUACCCAAGCCUAGUUUUGUAAUAAGUACUCACCUCCAAAAAAAGAAAAUAAGUGCAACAGAAAGGAGUUACUCAGGUCUCUCUGGUCCAUAUUUUUAAAAUCCUAGGGAAGAAUUCAGCUGGUUUAGUUAAGGCCAAAUUUCCACCUCAGGCCAAGAGCCAGGUCUGUAAGAAUAUGGCAGCCCUCAUUCAAAUCACAUGUUUGGUUUAGGAAAAGAAACAAUUCCAAAAGAGGGGAAAGGGGAUAGGUACAUGUAACAAUAAAUGUCCACCCCUUUAAGGCCAUCUUCCGUGCUUAUUGCAACCUGCUUUUACCUGGAGGGGAAGGUGGAGGAAGGAGGGUUCACAAUAUAAUUUGGCUCAGGUCUUGCAUGACCUGGGAGGGGACCUGGUCCCCAAACUAUUGUGUAUAAUAAGGGGGCCACUUUGGUACAUUCCCUCAGGGUCUAUUCCCAUUGUAGUCCAUAGGUCAUGAGAAUAAGAGUGAAAAUUCUUGUUUUAUCCAAUUUUAUGUCUUCCAUUCAAUUCAACAACGCUUGAAAUAUAAGCUCUUCACGAGUCAAAUUCCUUCCCCUCUGGCCCCUGCUGCCCUCUCUGACUUCCUCCUAUUUCUCAAUGUCUGAGCUCAGCCCUGCCUCGGGGACUUUGCACUGCUGUUUGCUCUGCCCUCAACUCUCUGUCCCUAGAUCUUGGUGAGGCUGGCUCCUGGGGAGGCCAAGCCAACAGGGCUGCUGUGCCUACUUCUGCAGUUCAUACGAUGCACAAAGGUGGUGGACUAAGGGCUGAAACUCAGUCCCAGUGCUGCCCACCAAGCUGUGUGCUCUGAGGAAGAGGAGCGUUUUUCUUCACCAAAGAGCAUCGUGUAGCAAAUCAAGGGUCCUUGGGGCUGCAUCUGGCCAGACAGGAGAUCUUUGUCUCAUGUGUACACAAGCCAUGUAAGCCUAGUGGUAGCCCAUGGCUAGAGGGCCUUCUCAUCAGAGCUGGACAGUUUUUUCCUCUACUGGAUGAGGAUGACCCUGGGGCUAAAUUGACACUGAAGCUGAAAACCUUGCGACUGACGGAAGGUGGAGAGAGCGCUGUGGGGCGAUCCUGAAAGGAAGUUCUGCCUCUGCCCCGUGUCGGUGCUCUUGGUUUAGACUCUUCGUCACAUCCUCUACUUCAUUGUCCCACAAGUGUAUUCUGAGCUCCCAUCAUGUGCUGGGGGAGGGAUCAAUGGUGACCAGGCUCUGCCUUUUGGGAAUUUAAUCUAGACGGGGAAAGAUACAAAUCAAAUAAUCACACCAACAACAUUUAACAUUAAACUGUGAUGAGCCCAGCAAGGAGACGUGGGUGGGGCCUUGAGAGCUCAUGGUAGGAGGAGCUAAGUGGAGGCUGGAGUGUUGGGAAGGUUUCCUGGAGGAAGUGACUUAAGCUGAAAAUGGAAGGAUGGAUGGGUAGGAGGAGACUGUGCAGAAAAAUGAUGGGACUUGAUAUGGAAGGUAGCCUGAUCUAGAGAAGAAUAGAACCAUGAGCCCAGCUCGGAGAGCAGGUCACUCUAGUGCCCGAAGGUGUUUCAGACAAUGCUUUUGGCUUUUAAGAAUAUGCCGUUAUUCAUCACUGAGGUUACAUUUACAAAUCAUUCUGGUGAGUCAUCUUUCAGGGACUGCCAAGAGCAUGACUCAGGGGUGUGCUGGAGCAGACUCCUUUCCACUGGCCAGAGCUGAUCGUACACAUCUCUUCCCGACUCCACACUCAGUGGCGUAGCUUUGGUAGCCUGAAAUUGGUCAUGGUGGGAGUAUUUACACCAGAGGAAUUGGUGAACAAGUCAGGGCUUUUUUUCCCUGCAGAGCCGAUGUUAAACAGUUACUACUAUGCCGCUGAGCAUGAACCACUUCUCACAGCCCUGGAGAGGUUGCUCAAUUUCACAGAGAGCAUAAGUUUUCUUGAAAAGGUAGAAUUUAUGACAAAGUGACAUGGUGGCCUUUGGAUUCUGCCUGAGAUACCUGGGAAAAGAUACUGCCGACAUACCAGAGGUAUGAGGUGGAGUGUGGUUUCUGCCACUCAUGAGUGUUUCCUGGCAAUUGACUUCCAAGAAGCAGAACCUCAUAAAUGCUGUAACUUGAGGGUGAUAGAGGUAGUAGGACUGGGCCAGUCAGCAUGCUUGCCGACUCCCUCCAUGGUCAGAGACUUUUACCAGGUCCAGGGGCCAAAUAGUAAGAGCACCCAAGACUGCAGCCCUCCCCUCUGGGGACUAGCAGUUGGUUCACAGCGUAGGUCAGAUACAAAUUAUGUGUGUAAUUCGAUCCCCUGCUGUCUUUUACCGUAGGGGUUUAGGGAGGGCUUGAUUCAGAUGAAAGUUUCCUGAGAGCAUGGACUGACUUAGCCUCACGUUCCGCACAGCAUCCAACCCAGCGCCUGGCACACAGCAAUCUCUCCCUAGAUGCUGGCUUUCAUAUCAGUGCACCCCAUGAAAGAGAACCCAGAAAGUUUACACAGCUAGAUGGCCUGUUUACCCCAGGCCUUUGUUUGUCCUUAUGCCAGCCUUUCUGGCAACUUCCCUUUAUCUUGCUAAACUCAGCUUGGGGGAACUUGAGACACCGUCCCUGGUCCCCGAGACUGGGGUGGGGCUGCUGCCUGCACUGUGCAGCGUAUCCCCAGUUCCUGUCCUCCCAGGUCGUUCUGCCCACCUCAUCUGCUGUGCGUGUCUACAUCUCAUCCAUCCUUCCAGCCCUGGCCCCUCAGUAUUUGGAACAAAAUAGGUGCCCAGUAAAUAUUUGAUGUGUGAAUGAGGAGCUGAAGCUAGUGCAAACAACUUACAUUUCAGGAAAGCCACACUUAAGAAGCUCCUUCUGCAUGCCAAGCAUAUGACUGGUAGCAGACUAUGCCUCCCCCAAAUAUGCCACUCUGGUAUAAAAAUGAUUCUGAACUGCCAGCAAUUGAGAAGAAGCAGAUGUAAGAAAAGCUCUCUGUCCUCUCCCCAUUUGCCUAAAAGCAGGACAGAAGUUUAUAAAGGUGUCCCUUUCCCCUCUCUACCAGAAAGGACAGAAGUUCAUCACUGGAAAUACCUCUAGACCCUUAUCAGCUCAGAGGUGGCACCGGAGGAAUCUAUAUAACAAACUUUACUAACAAGACUUUGUCUUUCAUUCGUUCCCCCAUGUAUUUGUCUUCCCACAACUUGCUGCCCUAGAAAUUCAAAGUCCUUUUCCUUUUCUUAUCACUUCUCAAAGUGUGUUGUUCUUUUGUUAAGAUGCCACCUAGCCCGAGUUGUAACCACCCCUCUGAGUUACACAUCACUGGGUACUCCCAUAGGUAUGUGCAAUGCACAUGUUAAUAAACUUCUGUUUGUUUCUCUCUU